rnacentral:rRNA from 1 species
UCCGGUUGAUCCUGCCAGAGGUCACUGCUAUCGGGGUUCGAUUAAGCCAUGCGAGUCGAGAGGGUUCGGCCCUCGGCGUACUGCUCAGUAACACGUGGAUAACCUGCCCUAGGGGAGGGGAUAACCCCGGGAAACUGGGGAUAAUACCCUAUAGGUUACAGAUGCUGGAAUGCCCUGUAACCAAAAGCUCCGGCGCCCUAGGAUGGAUCUGCGGCCGAUUAGGUUGUUGUUGGGGUAACGGCCCAACAAGCCCGUAAUCGGUACGGGUUGUGGGAGCAAGAGCCCCGGAGUUGGAUUCUGAGACACGAAUCCAGGCCCUACGGGGCGCAGCAGGCGCGAAACCUUUACAAUGCGGGCAACCGUGAUAAGGGAACCUCGAGUGCCUGUAAACGCAGGCUGUUCAGGUGUUUAAAACGCACCUGGAGAAAGGGCCGGGCAAGACCGGUGCCAGCCGCCGCGGUAAUACCGGCGGCUCGAGUGGUGGCCGCUUUUAUUGGGCUUAAAGCGUUCGUAGCUGGGUUGUUAAGUCUCUUGGGAAAUCUGGCGGCUUAACCGUCAGGCGUCUAAGGGAUACUGGCAAUCUUGGAACCGGGAGAGGUGAGGGGUACUUCGGGGGUAGGGGUGAAAUCCUGUAAUCCUCGAGGGACCACCUGUGGCGAAGGCGCCUCACCAGAACGGCUUCGACAGUGAGGGACGAAAGCUGGGUGAGCAAACCGGAUUAGAUACCCGGGUAGUCCCAGCCGUAAACGAUGCGCGUUAGGUGUAUCGGUGACCACGAGUUACCGAGGUGCCGAAGGGAAACCGUGAAACGCGCCGCCUGGGAAGUACGGUCGCAAGGCUGAAACUUAAAGGAAUUGGCGGGGGAGCGCCACAACGGGUGGAGCCUGCGGUUUAAUUGGACUCAACGCCGGGAAGCUCACCGGAUAAGACAGCUGAAUGAUUGCCGGGCUGAAGACUCUGCAUGACUAGCUGAGAGGAGGUGCAUGGCCGUCGUCAGUUCGUACUGUGAAGCAUCCUGUUAAGUCAGGUAACGAGCGAGACCCA